GGGCACAGUUCUAUGCCCGCGCCCGCGAGCAUAGGUUGAUGCCCAUAUCCGCGCCCACCGGUCGAGUGCCCACGGGUAUGCGGAUAUUUUCUGCCCGUCGCCAUCUUUAUACACCUAGCCCGCCGCGUUAGCUAGCAUUGACGGCGCCACGCAAUGCCGUGGAGGUGCAACAGCACAAGGCGAUGUUUUGGCUAAGCAAUUCGGAAUUGGAAUAUGAUUGGAAUUGAAUCGAUCGAAGACUCCAACUCUUAUCCUCCUAUCACACCAAUUGCAGGGAUCCAUCAAUAUAGAGGUGAGCCUGCUCAUAUUAGGGUUGGAUCCACAAAUAUGACGAGAUCUAGCGGGCGUAGGCUUCCUCGCCGGCGAGCCUCCCCACCAGCAACAGACCUGGCAACCAUGGUUGAGGACAUCUGCAGUUGUUUUUCUACCUCUGUUUCUAUGUUUUCUUGAGAGUACAGACGGACAGAGGAAGACGAACCUCGUGUGGAGAGUGAAGCCGAAGGGGUACCACAGCUGGCCCUAUUGGACCGCGUCCGCAUAAUGGAAGACAAUCAAACUCAAAUAUUCAUGGUCAGAUUGGAAAGGAAUGAUUGUCUUGACACAAGGAGUUGAAAUUCACUACUCAAAAAAAAACGCUUACUAGCUUUCACAGUGCUUUUUAAGGACUGAUUUGUUGUC